AUUGAACGCUGGCGGCAGGCCUAACACAUGCAAGUCGAACGGUAACAGGAAGAAGCUUGCUUCUUUGCUGACGAGUGGCGGACGGGUGAGUAAUGUCUGGGAAACUGCCUGAUGGAGGGGGAUAACUACUGGAAACGGUAGCUAAUACCGCAUAACGUCGCAAGACCAAAGAGGGGGACCUUCGGGCCUCUUGCCAUCGGAUGUGCCCAGAUGGGAUUAGCUAGUAGGUGGGGUAACGGCUCACCUAGGCGACGAUCCCUGGCUGGUCUGAGAGGAUGACCAGCCACACUGGAACUGAGACACGGUCCAGACUCCUACGGGAGGCAGCAGUGGGGAAUAUUGCACAAUGGGCGCAAGCCUGAUGCAGCCAUGCCGCGUGUAUGAAGAAGGCCUUCGGGUUGUAAAGUACUUUCAGCGGGGAGGAAGGGAGUAAAGUUAAUACCUUGGCUCAUUGACGUUACCCGCAGAAGAAGCACCGGCUAACUCCGUG
rnacentral:rRNA from 1 species